UACGAAGGGUGCAAGCGUUAUUCGGAUUUAUUGGGUGUAAAGGGUGCGUAGACGGCAUGUUAAGUCCGCUGUUAAAUUUCCCAGCUUAACUGGGAGCCAGCGGUGGAUACUGAUGUGCUAGAGGGUGGAAGAGAGAAGUGAAAUUCCCGGAGUAGCGGUAAAAUGCGUAGAUCUCGGGAGGAACACCAAUGGCGAAGGCAGCUUCUUGGUCCAUUUCUGACGUUGAGGCACGAAAGCGUGGGGAGCAAACAGG
rnacentral:rRNA from 1 species